AUCAACGCAAGUAUUCGAUCUUUUUAUCCUCAAAUUGUCUCAUCUCGAUUAUUACCCAAUUUUUAAUUCUUAACUUUCCUCACCUAUCCCAUCUCUUACCCUUUGAAUCUCACCGGUCAUAUAGCAAAAAUUAGGUUUAAAAAAACCAAUUUCCCUUAAAUUUCUUCUUCUGCUCGUAUCGGUUACCGUGAACGAGUUCAACUAAGCGUGGUAUCUCCAUUUUUCAUUAUUCUGAAUCUACAGUUUUCGGCCGGUUAAACCACACUGACCAGAAGGGAAACCCAGUGAGGAUAAAGUGAUCUCAUAUAAUGCCAAGAAGGCUCUGGAGGCGAUGAAUAGUGUAAGGCUUGGUAAAAUUGGUAUUUUUUUAAUGUUUUCCCCUUUUUAAAUGUUUGAGAAGGAUGUUAUCCAAACAGGGAGCCCAAUAAGUUCACAAGCUAAAUCCGAUUCUUAUUUGAGUGAAACAAGAUUUGAUCAAAUUUCUAUAUCUCCUUGUAAUUGAAGGGAAUU